UAGACGUUCAGCUGGAAGGGCCGAGAAUAGCGAGCAGCUAGGCUGAUAUAGCCAUGGCGCCGCCUCCUGCCUCGGGGAGGAACUGAAUUCUGUCCCAGCAUACUUUUUUAAGCUUGGUUCCUUUCUUAGUUCUUAAAACAAUGAUUGAGCGCCAACUAACUUCUGGGCGGUAUUUUGGUUGCUAAGGAGAGAUCACCAAGCUAUCCCUGCCCUCAAGGAACUAAAGAGAAACUGAAAUAUGUUCAGCAAGAGACUUGGAAUUGACAGUUGAUGAGUGGGGACAUGGGCUACAAGGAAGCAUUGCUGCUGGUGGAAGUUUCACUGUGGAGUUGACGGUCUUCUAACUUGACCAUCGAAAUAUCUUUUUAGGACUUAAGAUGCCUCCUUUGAUCAUACACCAUUUAGGACAUGGAAGAUUUUCAGGUUGUCUUAUUUAACAUGGAACUUGCCACGGCAGCUGGAUUGGAUGGCUAGCAUAGCCUAGGGAUCCUACUGGGUCUGCUCCCUCAGCACUGAAGUAACAGGUUGUCCUGAUGUCCUUCGUAUUCUGAUGUUAAUUCUGCUCCCUCAAAAGAGCUUGCCCCCACUUCCCCGAAAGGAGCAGUCUAUCACAUCCAUCACUGUUCAUCCAUCAUCACGGCUCGGCUCUCACGUACUCAGCAAUAAGCCAUCGAAAUCUUUUUUCCCAACUUCUCUUUCUCCCCAAGAGGGCCACUUAGAGGAGCGUGAAGACAAGUGAAGACAUGUAUGUAUGUGCACCAUGUGCACUCUGGUGUUGGCUAAGCUGUUAGAAGAAGACAUCCCAUUCACCCGGAUCUGGAGUUCCUGACAGUGGUUAGACACCAGUUCCAUUGAAGACAGUGCUACCCAAGUGAGCAUUCCAAAUCAUGUUUAAAGAGAGGUAAGAGAUAUGCUGCAGAGUCCAAAGAACAAGGUGGCUGUGGCUCAGAUGGCUUUACGUCUUUCAAGAACCAAGACCCCUGUUUGCUACAGCUCUGCUGUGCAAGCCCUGAGCACAACGCAGCUUUCUCUGACACACCAUCCCACAGGG